rnacentral:lncRNA from 1 species
ACCUGAACCAGCUGAUGCACCGUGUCACCCAGAGGGGCCUCUACUCCCUGGUCAGGGACAGCCUCUUUGUCAGUGGGUACUCCCCCAACAGAAAUGGUGCCCUGACUGAGAAUUCUGGUAAGCCUCAAGGAAGCCCCAGCCUGCGCUUGGGAGGGAAUAUCUCGAUGCUCUGCCCCAUCAAAGAUAACCACGCACACAGGGUCUUAGGUGAUGAUGAAAACUGGCCAACCCAUGUCAAGACCUCCCCUUCUGGGCGAUCAUCCUCAUCUGCUUGGUGGGGCUCAUGGUGCCCAUCACAUGCCUGAUCUGCUGUCUCCUGGUAAGCAAGGAAGUGCCACUUGUUUUCUUUCUAUUGGGUUGUAAGAGCUCUUUAGAUAUUAUAAAUAUGUGUGCUUUGCUAGGGAUAUGUUUUGCAAAAAUUGUCUCCUAUUGGCCACUUGGUGUUCAUUUAGAGCUUUAGAGCUUGAAUCAGUAGUGACAUUAUCAUCUGCCCAACUCUGAGUGACUCACUCCCCUGUCCCAGACAUUUCCAUCAACCCAAAGGAUCGUGUUCAAAAAUAAAUAAUUCAGAAACAUAUUAACCCA